rnacentral:rRNA from 1 species
UAAUACGAAGGGCCCGAGCGUUACGCGGAAUUACUGGGCUUAAAGGGUACGUAGGCGGACCUGUAGGCACCAUGUGAAAUCCCUCAGCUCAACUGAGGAACUGCAUGAUGAACCACAGGUCUUGAGGUAAGUAGGGGCUGUCGGAACGAUAGGUGGAGUGGUGAAUGCGUUGAUAUCUAUCGGAACACCAAAGGAGAAGUCAGGCAGCUGGGCUUAUUCUGACGCUGAGGUACGAAAGCGUGGGGAGCGAACGGGAUUAGAUACCCCGGUAGUCCACGCCGUAAACGAUGUGCACUAGAUCGAGGGGGUUUUAUCGCCGCUCUUGGUCGAAGCGAAAGUAUUAAGUGCACCGCCUGGGGAGUACGGUCGCAAGGCUA